GCCAGUGUGGUGUAGUGGUUUAAGCAUUGGGCUAUGACUCUGGAGACCAGGGUUCGAAUUCCGGCUCAGCCA